UUUUCUUCUCCUUUUCUUACCACACAGUUGCAGCUACCCCCUGCCAUGGACUGGCAACCAGAUGAGCAGGGGCUGCAGCAGGUCUUGCAGCUGCUCAAGGACUCGCAGUCACCUAACACGGCCACACAGCGCAUAGUCCAGGAUAAACUGAAACAGCUCAAUCAGUUCCCAGAUUUCAACAACUAUCUUAUCUUCGUCCUGACUAGGUUGAAAUCAGAAGAUGAGCCGACGCGCUCCCUCAGUGGGCUCAUCCUGAAGAACAAUGUCAAAGCUCAUUACCAGAGCUUUCCACCGCCCGUGGCUGAGUUUAUCAAGCAGGAGUGUCUCAACAACAUUGGCGAUGCUUCCUCCCUCAUUCGCGCCACCAUUGGAAUUCUCAUCACCACCAUCGCCUCCAAGGGGGAGCUGCAGAUGUGGCCAGAGCUGCUGCCUCAGUUGUGCAACCUGCUUAACUCUGAGGACUACAACACCUGCGAGGGGGCCUUUGGGGCCUUGCAAAAGAUCUGCGAGGACUCGUCGGAGCUCUUGGACAGCGAUGCCCUCAAUCGCCCCCUCAAUGUCAUGAUCCCCAAGUUCCUGCAGUUCUUCAAGCAUUGCAGCCCUAAGAUCAGAUCCCAUGCCAUCGCUUGCGUGAACCAGUUCAUCAUGGACCGGGCUCAGGCACUGAUGGAUAACAUUGACACCUUCAUCGAGCACUUGUUUGCUCUGGCGGUGGAUGAAGACCCUGAGGUUCGGAAGAACGUGUGCCGGGCCUUGGUGAUGCUGCUGGAGGUGCGGAUCGACCGUCUCAUCCCACACAUGCACAGCAUCAUCCAGUACAUGCUGCAGCGCACUCAGGACAGCGAUGAGAAUGUGGCGCUGGAGGCCUGUGAGUUCUGGCUCACACUGGCUGAGCAGCCCAUCUGCAAGGAGGCCCUGACUUCUCACUUAGUACAGCUGAUCCCCAUCCUGGUGAAUGGCAUGAAAUAUUCAGAGAUUGACAUCAUCCUGCUUAAGGGCGAUGUGGAGGAGGAUGAGGCCAUCCCAGACAGCGAGCAGGACAUCAAGCCACGCUUCCACAAGUCGCGCACGGUAACACUGCAGCAUGAGGAGGAGCGGGCCCAGGACGGCGAGGACGGCGACGAUGAGGACGAUGAUGAUGACACACUCUCGGACUGGAACCUCCGAAAGUGCUCUGCGGCUGCCCUGGAUGUUCUGGCCAAUGUGUUCCGGGAGGAGCUGCUGCCCCAUCUGCUGCCCCUGCUCAAGGGACUGCUUUUCCACCCCGAGUGGGUCAUCAAGGAGUCGGGCAUCCUGGUGCUGGGCGCCAUCGCCGAGGGCUGCAUGCAGGGCAUGGUGCCCUACCUGCCCGAGCUCAUCCCACACCUGAUCCAGUGCCUGUCGGACAAGAAGGCGCUGGUGCGCUCCAUCGCGUGCUGGACGCUAAGCCGCUACGCGCACUGGGUGGUGAGCCAGCCCCCUGACACCUACCUCAAGCCCCUCAUGACCGAGCUGCUUAAGCGUAUCCUGGACAGCAACAAGCGUGUGCAGGAGGCAGCAUGCAGCGCCUUUGCCACCCUGGAGGAAGAGGCCUGCACAGAGCUGGUUCCCUACCUCAGCUUCAUACUGGACACACUGGUUUUUGCCUUUGGGAAGUACCAGCACAAAAACCUGCUCAUCUUGUACGAUGCCAUCGGCACCCUGGCUGACUCUGUGGGGCACCACCUUAACCAACCGGAGUACAUCCAGAAGCUGAUGCCUCCCCUGAUUCAGAAGUGGAACGAGUUGAAGGAUGAGGACAAGGACCUCUUCCCGCUGCUGGAAUGCCUGUCGUCUGUGGCAACCGCCCUCCAGAGUGGCUUCCUGCCCUACUGUGAACCCGUGUACCAGCGCUGUGUCACCCUGGUGCAAAAGACCCUUGCCCAGGCCAUGAUGUACAGCCAGCAUCCUGAGCAGUACGAAGCACCUGACAAGGACUUCAUGAUCGUGGCGCUGGACCUACUGAGUGGCCUGGCCGAGGGGCUGGGCUGCCACGUGGAGCAGCUGGUUGCACGCAGCAACAUCAUGACGCUACUCUUCCAGUGCAUGCAGGACACGAUGCCUGAGGUUCGGCAGAGUUCCUUCGCACUCCUGGGCGACCUCACCAAGGCUUGCUUUGUGCAUGUCAAACCCUGUAUUGCCGAAUUCAUGCCCAUCCUGGGCACAAACCUGAACCCUGAGUUCAUCUCAGUCUGCAACAAUGCAACGUGGGCCAUUGGUGAGAUCUGCAUGCAGAUGGGGGAGGAGAUGCAGCCAUAUGUGCAGAUGGUGCUGAACAACCUGGUGGAGAUCAUCAACCGGCCCAACACUCCCAAGACACUGCUGGAAAACACAGCCAUCACCAUUGGGCGCCUCGGCUAUGUGUGCCCACAGGAGGUUGCACCCAUGCUGCAGCAAUUUAUCCGGCCCUGGUGCACAUCACUGAGGAACAUCCGGGACAACGAGGAGAAGGACUCUGCUUUCCGUGGCAUCUGUGUCAUGAUCCGUGCCAACCCUGCAGGCGUCAUGCAGGAUUUCAUCUUCUUUUGUGAUGCCGUCGCCUCCUGGGUGAGCCCCAAGGAUGACCUGCGGGACAUGUUUUAUAAGAUCCUCCAUGGCUUCAAGGAGCAGGCGGGUGAGGAGAGCUGGCAGCAGUUCUCAGAGCAGUUCCCGCCCCUGCUCAAGGAGCGGCUGGCGGCAUUUUACGGGGUCUAGGCAGAGCAGUGAUGCCAGCUAGGUUCCCGUCCGUGCUGGGAGGGUUACCGGGAUCGUGUCAAUCCCCAGGAAGCUUCCCUCUCUCCUGCCCUGGCUUGAUGUGAUGCUCUAACACAGCAAGAAACACACUCCCUAUGAGGGUCCUGGAUCAGCAGGUGCUGGGAGUCGGGGCAGGGCAGCUGUAGGAGACGCAUGCGCUGUGUUGUGAUCUUCCUUAAAGGCAAAAGACCCCCCUCCCCCCAGUGCAGUGAAUUGUUGUAACCUGUUUUUAACCUGUCCUUUGCUGUCUCGUGACCCAGCCCAUCAUGUGCCCCUCGGCCUUAGUUGGGGGGGGUCUGUACCUUAUUCACUGUGGGCCAGGGAUAGACACAGGCUGGGGCUUGGAUCUCAUGCCUCAGCAGGCGCUUGGCUGAGGUCCUGCCAUGGUGCGCAAAUCUAUUCCAGCCCUGGGUGGUCUUAAUGGCUGCAGGUUGGUGCCCUUGGGAUCCCAGGUGGGUGUGGGGGUGGAGUUUAUUUUACUAUUAAUUGGUUACCAGGCAGAAGGCAAGGGGGGGGGGGGGUGGGGACGCACUUUCAUGGAGGAAGGGGAUUGCAAGGAACUGCUGCUGCUGGGAGAAGUUGAUCUGGUGCAGCCAGGAUCAGCGGGGUAGGUGAUGGCAUCUACAGGGGGAAGAGAAAAUCUAUCCCCACUGCAUCCUGCCCCACGGGGAAGCAAGAGAGAUUUCCAACUCCCAGUUGGCCUCGCCCUGUGUCAGCAGUAGGGUGCUGGUUUCCAGGCAGGGGCAGAUACUGCCUUCCUCUGACCCUGGUCUCCUCGUACUGGAACAGCCAUCAGCAAGGGGAACCGCCACCAGCCCAGUCCAGUGCCUGUCGAGAAGACUCCCUGUCCUGGGCCCACAUAUGAAAAGAACCACAGGCCACAGCCACUGAUGCAUUACAGGGGCCCUGUGGGGCCCAGGCUUCAUGGCUUCCCUCCCUACACUGGGGCAAACACCCCCAGGGCCUUUGCUGCCUCUGAGGGGGCCUCUGCUUCUUAGCAAGGACCUCUCUUCUUUUUAAAGCAUUCCCAUUGGGUUCUGUGCUCUCUGUUCCUCUCUGCGGAAGACCGAUGCCUCCAGUGAGGGCUGCCUCUCCUGCUCUUUUGAAAUGCAUGAGCCCAGGGGCCACAGCUGGAGGCUGCAAGUCCCCCUUUGCGCCGGUGACGUCUUGGCGCCUUGUCCUGGAUGCCUGCAGCUCCCCAUGCACCUUUCGUGCCAGUGCUUCUCGCUUGCGCCUCCUGGAUCCAUGUCGUCGUGGCUGUGCUGUGCAUUCUCAGUGGUGAUGCCCCUUGUGCCCCAUGUUGCAGCCGCUACUUGCACCUUGCUGGAAUGAGGUUUCUCUCAUUUUAUGUAUAAUUUUUUUUUUUUUGUCUACUUAUGAAACGGAACAAGCCUGAGCCACUCCUUUGUCUGCCUGGCUUCUUUUCCCUGCCCUCCAAGGCUUCAGUUUGGGGCUGAAACUAGGCAGUGGGCUGUAGUUAAUAGCGGGAUCUGUCUGUCUUUUCCUGCUUCAGAUUUAUAGCAGGAGGGAGCAAGGUUGGAGAUAAAGAGGUUUCUGUUCCUCAUGGGAGUUCCCAGGGUGGGGGAAAUCUCCUUCCUAAGAAGCGAGCAGCAGGUUUGGCAAGAGUGGAUCCUGUAGAGGGAGAGACUGAACUGGGACUGUAGUGAUCUAUCCCCUAUUCAAUAUCAGAUCUCUCUCCUGUGAUCUCUUCAGAGUAUUGAUAGGGGUUAGAGCUAGAGUGAUCCAUCCCCUAUUCAACAUCCUUCCUCCUCUCUAAUGUUAGAGGUACCAAAGGAAAUGUCUCCAACUGCCCUGUUCAAUAGCCGUUAAUAGAUAUCAGCCGUGAAUUUAUCCAGU